GUGGGGAAUCUUAGACAAUGGGGGAAACCCUGAUCUAGCCAUGCCGCGUGAGCGAUGAAGGCCUUAGGGUUGUAAAGCUCUUUCAGCUGGGAAGAUAAUGACGGUACCAGCAGAAGAAGCCCCGGCUAACUCCGUGCCAGCAGCCGCGGUAAUACGGAGGGGGCUAGCGUUGUUCGGAAUUACUGGGCGUAAAGCGCACGUAGGCGGAUCAGAAAGUCAGAGGUGAAAUCCCAGGGCUCAACCUUGGAACUGCCUUUGAAACUCCUGGUCUUGAGGUCGAGAGAGGUGAGUGGAAUUCCGAGUGUAGAGGUGAAAUUCGUAGAUAUUCGGAGGAACACCAGUGGCGAAGGCGGCUCCCUGGCUCGAUACUGACGCUGAGGUGCGAAAGCGUGGGGAGCAAACAGGAUUAGAAACCCCUGUAGUCC
rnacentral:rRNA from 1 species